UGGCGGCGUGCUUAACACAUGCAAGUCGAACGAAGCGAUUUGAGAAGUUUUCGGAUGGAAGUCAAAUUGACUGAGUGGCGGACGGGUGAGUAACGCGUGGGUAACCUGCCUCAUACGAGGGGGAUAACAGUUAGAAAUGACUGCUAAUACCGCAUAAGCGCACGGAAGCGCAUGCUUCUGUGUAGAAAAACUCCGGGUGGUAUGAGAUGGACCUGCGUCUGAUUAGCUAGUUGGUGAGGUAACGGCCCACCAAGGCGACGAUCAGUAGCCGACCUGAGAGGGUGACCGGCCACAUUGGGACUGAGACACGGACCCAAACUCCGUACGGGGAGGCAGCAGGUGGGGAAUAUUGCACAAUGGGGGAAACCCUGAUGCAGCGACGCCGCGUGAGUGAAGAAGUAUUUCGGUAUGUAAAGCUCUAUCAGCAGGGAAGAGAAUGACGGUACCUGACUAAGAAGCCCCGGCUAACUACGUGCCAGCAGCCGCGGUAA
rnacentral:rRNA from 1 species